ACGAACGCUGGCGGCGUGCUUAACACCUGCAAGUCGAACGGUGAAGCGCCUUCCCUUUUGGUGGGUGUGGAUGAGUGGCGAACGGGUGAGUAACACGUGAGUAACCUGCCCCCUUCUUCUGGAUAACCGCAUGAAAGUGUGGCUAAUACGGGAUAUUCUGGGUCUGUCGCAUGAUGGGUCUGGGAAAGAUAUUGUUUCGGUGGGGGAUGGGCUCGCGGCCUAUCAGCUUGUUGGUGGGGUGAUGGCCUACCAAGGCGGUGACGGGUAGCCGGCCUGAGAGGGUGGACGGUCACACUGGGACUGAGACACGGCCCAGACUCCUACGGGAGGCAGCAGUGGGGAAUAUUGCACAAUGGGCGCAAGCCUGAUGCAGCGACGCCGCGUGAGGGAUGGAGGCCUUCGGGUUGUGAACCUCUUUCGCCAGUGAAGCAGGCCUGCCUCGUUUGUGGGUGGGUUGACGGUAGCUGGAUAAGAAGCGCCGGCUAACUACGUG
rnacentral:rRNA from 1 species